GCCCUCGUAGCUCAGCGGAUAGAGCACCGGCUUCCGGAGCCGGCGGUCGGCCGUUCGAAUCGGUCCGAGGGUG
rnacentral:tRNA from 1 species